rnacentral:lncRNA from 1 species
UAAUCUCCAACUGUAAUAUUGCAACAUCACAGCUUCAGCACACAGUUACCUUCAUUCCAAGUACUGGAAUUCUUCACACAGAACUACCAUUCACAUUACAGUGUUUCACACAACCACAGAUUCACUCUUUCUACUGAACUACAUUCAGAUUUCAGCAUUCAAUCUCUCUUCUUCUCAUUCAAUAACAUAUAAUUCCAAUCACACUUCCAUUCCAUGAUUCACUUCACAAUAUUCAGAAACUCUCAAUACUCUUAUUUCAAAGAACAUAACAACAAAAGAAAAGAGGUAGCACCAAGCUUAUCCCGGCUCACACUAUCACAAUAAUGGCCGUUUCUUCCUCUCUCUCAUCCUCCUUAUCCUACCACAAGAUACCAACUACUACAUCUCUAAUGAAAACUGCUUUUUCUAACUAUUCAUCCAUUUUAACUACUGAACUACCUUUCUAACAGUCAUCUA